UCACGAUUGUUAUAUCUGUUUCAUGUUUGUUAUCCCUAUGAAAAGUAUGUGCUGUACAGCUUUGUAACCUUGCAGCACAUAUUACCAGAUAUGUUGGAUUAGCAGCUUUUAACUUUUAUAUCGUAAUUUAUGUUACAGCUGCUAGGAUGAGGUUGGCAGCCACUGAGAAAGCGGAAGCGGAGAAGAUACUCCAGAUCAAGAGGGCUGAAGGUGAGGCAGAAUCGAAGUACUUGGCUGGUGUGGGUAUUGCAAGGCAGCGCCAGGCCAUAGUGGACGGGCUGAGAGACAGUGUUCUCGCCUUCUCUGAGAAUGUGCCUGGGACCUCUUCGAAGGAUGUCAUGGAUAUGGUUUUGGUGACGCAGUACUUCGAUACCAUGAAGGACAUUGGGGCCUCUUCCAAGUCUUCAGCAGUGUUCAUCCCUCACGGGCCUGGCGCUGUCAAAGACAUCGCUUCGCAGAUACGAGAUGGUCAGCUCCAGGGCAGGAUGGUUUGAGGAGUGUUGGAAAAUGGAUGCCACUUUUAUACGCAUACUUUUAAGUACAUACAGCUUAUUCUUAUACUAUGUGUGAGGUGAGGUUGUGCCUAGAUGGAUGUUAAUAUCAGUACUUGCUUGGAUUGUGCCACUCGUUUCUGUAAAAAAUAUAAGUUGUGCUAUCACUGCGUUCACCACUAUUUGUGAAUUGAGUGUGUUAUAUGGUUAUUAUACUAUAAUUUCUAUGUUGCUACUAGUAUUUUCAUUCAAAUCUUGGAAACCUUGGAAUUUUGGAGAUUGUUCUGAAGCUCCUCCCACUGAGGCCCCCAGUUUCUCGUUCUUACUACUUAUGAUAUGUUCUUUG
rnacentral:lncRNA from 1 species